rnacentral:rRNA from 1 species
GAUGAACGCUGGCGGCGUGCCUAAUACAUGCAAGUCGAGCGAACAGAUGAGGAGCUUGCUCCUCUGACGUUAGCGGCGGACGGGUGAGUAACACGUGGAUAACCUACCUAUAAGACUGGGAUAACUUCGGGAAACCGGAGCUAAUACCGGAUAAUAUAUUGAACCGCAUGGUUCAAUAGUGAAAGACGGUUUUGCUGUCACUUAUAGAUGGAUCCGCGCCGCAUUAGCUAGUUGGUAAGGUAACGGCUUACCAAGGCAACGAUGCGUAGCCGACCUGGGAGGGGGAUCGGCCACACUGGAACUGAGACACGGUCCAUACUCCUACGGGAGGCAGCAGUAGGGAAUCUUCCGCAAUGGGCGAAAGCCUGACGGAGCAACGCCGCGUGAGUGAUGAAGGUCUUCGGAUCGUAAAACUCUGUUAUUAGGGAAGAACAAAUGUGUAAGUAACUAUGCACGUCUUGACGGUACCUAAUCAGAAAGCCACGGCUAACUACGUG